rnacentral:misc_RNA from 1 species
AAGUCGUAACAAGGUUUCCGUAGGUGAACCUGCGGAAGGAUCAUUAACACUCUUUUUUCAAUGAAAGAGCUCAUUUUUUGAUUCUUUGUUUUUUCUUUUGAGAAACUUGGAUUCAAAUAAUGGGUAUUCACCCCCUUAUAUUGACGAACGAAGAAAAACAUUGAUUUUGUUUCAAAAGCAAAACUCAUAUUUUUCUAUCUUUUUCUCUAUACCUUAUAUUUUUCAAAACCCCUUUUUUUACAAUAUGUCUUAGACUGAAUUGAAAAAUUAAGAUAAAUUAAAAAAACAACUCUUAACAACGGAUAUCUUGGUUCUC